AGAAGGGGGAGCGCCAGAAGACUUGAGGGCUAGCUGUUGUAACGCCAGUGAAAAUGGAAACUUCGAUUAUAGCCUCACAGAACAGAGAAGAGCAACGCUGAAGGGCAUGGGACUGAACCAUGGAGGAACCCAAAGAGUGCAUAACUGCAGUUUUGCAGUCAUUUGUCAUACUCUCAUCAGGGUCUCAGAUUUCCACAUCUGACGAAGCACUGUGCACUUCUAGAAAGACAGAGCACUGACCCCCACCAUGACAGAGUGAUAUAUGUUUGGUGCCAUGAAAAAAGAUAACCGUAUCUUCCCAGCAAUUUCUACAUGUUCCACCCACCAGCAUGCUGGCACUCUGCAUGACGUCCUGGUGGCUUCAUGGAAUU